rnacentral:rRNA from 2 species
GGGUUGUGAGGUUAAGCGACUAAGCGUACACGGUGGAUGCCCUGGCAGUCAGAGGCGAUGAAGGACGUGCUAAUCUGCGAUAAGCGUCGGUAAGGUGAUAUGAACCGUUAUAACCGGCGAUUUCCGAAUGGGGAAACCCAGUGUGUUUCGACACACUAUCAUUAACUGAAUCCAUAGGUUAAUGAGGCGAACCGGGGGAACUGAAACAUCUAAGUACCCCGAGGAAAAGAAAUCAACCGAGAUUCCCCCAGUAGCGGCGAGCGAACGGGGAGCAGCCCAGAGCCUGAAUCAGUGUGUGUGUUAGUGGAAGCGUCUGGAAAGGCGCGCGAUACAGGGUGACAGCCCCGUACACAAAAAUGCACAUGCUGUGAGCUCGAUGAGUAGGGCGGGACACGUGGUAUCCUGUCUGAAUAUGGGGGGACCAUCCUCCAAGGCUAAAUACUCCUGACUGACCGAUAGUGAACCAGUACCGUGAGGGAAAGGCGAAAAGAACCCCGGCGAGGGGAGUGAAAAAGAACCUGAAACCGUGUACGUACAAGCAGUGGGAGCACGCUUAGGCGUGUGACUGCGUACCUUUUGUAUAAUGGGUCAGCGACUUAUAUUCUGUAGCAAGGUUAACCGAAUAGGGGAGCCGAAGGGAAACCGAGUCUUAACUGGGCGUUAAGUUGCAGGGUAUAGACCCGAAACCCGGUGAUCUAGCCAUGGGCAGGUUGAAGGUUGGGUAACACUAACUGGAGGACCGAACCGACUAAUGUUGAAAAAUUAGCGGAUGACUUGUGGCUGGGGGUGAAAGGCCAAUCAAACCGGGAGAUAGCUGGUUCUCCCCGAAAGCUAUUUAGGUAGCGCCUCGUGAAUUCAUCUCCGGGGGUAGAGCACUGUUUCGGCAAGGGGGUCAUCCCGACUUACCAACCCGAUGCAAACUGCGAAUACCGGAGAAUGUUAUCACGGGAGACACACGGCGGGUGCUAACGUCCGUCGUGAAGAGGGAAACAACCCAGACCGCCAGCUAAGGUCCCAAAGUCAUGGUUAAGUGGGAAACGAUGUGGGAAGGCCCAGACAGCCAGGAUGUUGGCUUAGAAGCAGCCAUCAUUUAAAGAAAGCGUAAUAGCUCACUGGUCGAGUCGGCCUGCGCGGAAGAUGUAACGGGGCUAAACCAUGCACCGAAGCUGCGGCAGCGACACUAUGUGUUGUUGGGUAGGGGAGCGUUCUGUAAGCCUGUGAAGGUGUACUGUGAGGUAUGCUGGAGGUAUCAGAAGUGCGAAUGCUGACAUAAGUAACGAUAAAGCGGGUGAAAAGCCCGCUCGCCGGAAGACCAAGGGUUCCUGUCCAACGUUAAUCGGGGCAGGGUGAGUCGACCCCUAAGGCGAGGCCGAAAGGCGUAGUCGAUGGGAAACAGGUUAAUAUUCCUGUACUUGGUGUUACUGCGAAGGGGGGACGGAGAAGGCUAUGUUGGCCGGGCGACGGUUGUCCCGGUUUAAGCGUGUAGGCUGGUUUUCCAGGCAAAUCCGGAAAAUCAAGGCUGAGGCGUGAUGACGAGGCACUACGGUGCUGAAGCAACAAAUGCCCUGCUUCCAGGAAAAGCCUCUAAGCAUCAGGUAACAUCAAAUCGUACCCCAAACCGACACAGGUGGUCAGGUAGAGAAUACCAAGGCGCUUGAGAGAACUCGGGUGAAGGAACUAGGCAAAAUGGUGCCGUAACUUCGGGAGAAGGCACGCUGAUAUGUAGGUGAAGUCCCUCGCGGAUGGAGCUGAAAUCAGUCGAAGAUACCAGCUGGCUGCAACUGUUUAUUAAAAACACAGCACUGUGCAAACACGAAAGUGGACGUAUACGGUGUGACGCCUGCCCGGUGCCGGAAGGUUAAUUGAUGGGGUCAGCGCAAGCGAAGCUCUUGAUCGAAGCCCCGGUAAACGGCGGCCGUAACUAUAACGGUCCUAAGGUAGCGAAAUUCCUUGUCGGGUAAGUUCCGACCUGCACGAAUGGCGUAAUGAUGGCCAGGCUGUCUCCACCCGAGACUCAGUGAAAUUGAACUCGCUGUGAAGAUGCAGUGUACCCGCGGCAAGACGGAAAGACCCCGUGAACCUUUACUAUAGCUUGACACUGAACAUUGAGCCUUGAUGUGUAGGAUAGGUGGGAGGCUUUGAAGUGUGGACGCCAGUCUGCAUGGAGCCGACCUUGAAAUACCACCCUUUAAUGUUUGAUGUUCUAACGUGGACCCGUAAUCCGGGUUGCGGACAGUGUCUGGUGGGUAGUUUGACUGGGGCGGUCUCCUCCUAAAGAGUAACGGAGGAGCACGAAGGUUGGCUAAUCCUGGUCGGACAUCAGGAGGUUAGUGCAAUGGCAUAAGCCAGCUUGACUGCGAGCGUGACGGCGCGAGCAGGUGCGAAAGCAGGUCAUAGUGAUCCGGUGGUUCUGAAUGGAAGGGCCAUCGCUCAACGGAUAAAAGGUACUCCGGGGAUAACAGGCUGAUACCGCCCAAGAGUUCAUAUCGACGGCGGUGUUUGGCACCUCGAUGUCGGCUCAUCACAUCCUGGGGCUGAAGUAGGUCCCAAGGGUAUGGCUGUUCGCCAUUUAAAGUGGUACGCGAGCUGGGUUUAGAACGUCGUGAGACAGUUCGGUCCCUAUCUGCCGUGGGCGCUGGAGAAUUGAGGGGGGCUGCUCCUAGUACGAGAGGACCGGAGUGGACGCAUCACUGGUGUUCGGGUUGUCAUGCCAAUGGCACUGCCCGGUAGCUAAAUGCGGAAGAGAUAAGUGCUGAAAGCAUCUAAGCACGAAACUUGCCCCGAGAUGAGUUCUCCCUGACUCCUUGAGAGUCCUGAAGGAACGUUGAAGACGACGACGUUGAUAGGCCGGGUGUGUAAGCGCAGCGAUGCGUUGAGCUAACCGGUACUAAUGAACCGUGAGGCUUAACCUUACAACGCCGAAGGUGUUU